rnacentral:rRNA from 1 species
GAUGAACGCUGGCGGCGUGCCUAAUACAUGCAAGUCGAGCAAACGGACGAGAAGCUUGCUUCUCUGAUGUUAGCGGCGGACGGGUGAGUAACACGUGGAUAACCUACCUAUAAGACUGGGAUAACUUCGGGAAACCGGAGCUAAUACCGGAUAAUAUUUUGAACCGCAUGAUUCAAAAGUGAAAGACGGUCUUGCUGUCACUUAUAGAUGGAUCCGCGCUGCAUUAGCUAGUUGGUAAGGUAACGGCUUACCAAGGCAACGAUGCAUAGCCGACCUGAGAGGGUGAUCGGCCACACUGGAACUGAGACACGGUCCAGACUCCUACGGGAGGCAGCAGUAGGGAAUCUUCCGCAAUGGGCGAAAGCCUGACGGAGCAACGCCGCGUGAGUGAUGAAGGUCUUCGGAUCGUAAAACUCUGUUAUUAGGGAAGAACAUAUGUGUAAGUAACUGUGCACAUCUUGACGGUACCUAAUCAGAAAGCCACGGCUAACUACGUG